UGUUUAAAUUAAUACUGGUUAACAGGAGGUGGAAUUUAUUUAAAGAUUCUUUACACAAAAUGUCUACAUCAAACAAACAUGUAUUUUUAUCUCGUUAUUUUUGAAAGGUCUUUGUUGUGUAAGUGAACACAAAACAUCAAUAGUAGAUAAUUCUAUGAUGUGCAAGUAAAACAAUAUUGAACUCAACGACAAGGGUCAGCAAUAUGGAAAAAGAAUUAACAGACGAAGAACUACGCAAUUGGGUGAAGGCUUGCUUAGGUUUAAAAUAUUUCAAGGAAGGUGUUUUGCCAUUUAUAGCAGAUGCAUGCACAAAAAUGUAUAGUAAGCGAAAGAUCAAAAUGGAAGCUCUGUGCAAAAUUUCAAAAUACACAUGCAAAGGAUGCGACAUUUCAACACUUGAGCCAAAACAUACAAAAACUAAAAAGUGCCGGAACAAGAAAUGCAACUGUUUCUGUAAUAAACGAAAAAGUCUUAAAUGCAUAGAAAGCGAAGCAUGCGGUGUACUAUAUGAUUUAAUUAUAGACGACCAUGUGAGCAAAAGUCCCAAUUGGGUUAACACAGGAUGCGAUUUGUGGUCAGAUAAAGAUGCUGGUCCCUGGAAACUCAUGAAAUGCUUCAUUUCAACACCUGGGUAUAAACACAGAAGAACUGUUGCCGAAGCAGACGUAACCGCUCUUAUACAAAUAUUUGAGAACAAUACGGAAUUGAGAAACUGCGUUGGAGUUGAUUUGGAGAAACUCGUUCGGAUACGCAAAAUACGAAACGAUAUUUGCCAUACCGGGGACAUGAAAGUUUCUAAAAAUACAUUAUGCGACUACAUUGACGGCAUGAAGAGAGCUUUACAGUUGAACAUAUUUAGCACAUAUGAGUCUACACAAAAGCAAUUGGACAAGCUCAAUCAACUGGAAAAGGACAACCACAAAGUUACAAAAGAAGACGAACUUAAAUCAAGGAAAGACAUGAUUAAAGCGAUCAAAGAGUCAAAAGAAAUCGCUAAGUUACAAGGAGACCAGAUAGAUACACUCGAAAAUAAUAUACUAACCUUGACCAUUUUUUAAAAAACUCACUGUAAGAAAUAUGAAGACAUGAUUGUCUAUUUAAAAGGUCAUGUUAACGGUUUAUUGAAAGAAAUAAAGAAAACAACAGAACAAAUAUUAGAAACAGACAGCGAUUUCAAAGUUGCAGUGUUAGAUGAAUUUGAAAAAGUGGCAAAGGAACUUCAAGACCACGGGGCACUUCUACAAGAAAAUAACACAGAUAUGAGGAUGGCUCUGCAACGAUUGGACGAGCUUUUACAACGAAUGCAAGCGCAAGAUAUCAGAACAGAAACAAUUAUACGAGUAUGUUUACACGUCGUAUCCACCUCCGAAAAGGACAGAAUAUCGGAAUUGUUAGUCAAAAUUGCAAAUGGGGACACAGCCAGCUUCGAUCCAACCAUUGUACAGCAAGUUAAAAGCGCUCUCAACGCCUUGAUAAAAGACGGAAUCAAAUUGAAGAAAGUACAACAGGAAUGUGAUGCAUUGUAUCUUAGUUGUACUACGCCAAAGAAGUGGAUACACGUUUGCGGAGAUUGCUUAGACGGAUCGCUGACUGAGCUAUUCGAACCUCUUCAAACCUGUUUGAGAACGCUUCCGGAGUGCCAGAAUCUGGAACUGAAAGUGGUUAUAAAUGAAAAUGACUUUCUAGUGGCUAUGGCCGUUAUACGUAAGUAAUACUAACGUUAGUAACAAUCAUACAUUUUGACAUGUACAUUAUUUAAAGUAUUUAAAUUGGGCCUAAACAAUACAAUCAUCAUUCAUUUGCAUAGUUUCCUAAAGAAAUCAAACAUUCGGUGACGUUUUGCAGUGAUAGUGACCCCUGGAGUCCUGGAGUAAAAAGUCUCACGCCUAGACCACUCGACCAUCCAUGCUCAUGCUUAAUGUGGAUGUAUUUUUUUCCUAUAUAAGCAAUCCUCGUAGUUUCCAAAAAUAUAACUACAACAACAGACCUUUCCAAAUUAUUCAAUCGUUUCGCGUCGCACGACGCUUUAUAAUUUUCAGGUUUUCAAAUCGUCAAAAGAUGCAUAUAAUGGAUAUUUAAGAGCAUGAUAAAUGGUCAGUAUUACUAUUUCCUCAAAAAUAUCAUACCAAAAAAGAAAAUUUGCGAAUCUGAAACAAUCUGUUGGACGGCCCCUUUAAUGUCAAGUAUCAAGAAAAAAUAAACAUAUUUAUCAUAUAAUUUGUAAACAAAAUUGUCGGUAAAAACAUUUCGUGGUAAAAAACACAGGUACAUUAAUGAGUGCACAAAAUAAGUCUUACGGAUUAAUUAACCAACAUCUAGCACAUUUAGGACAAAUGAAAUUCCAGCAAAUGAUGAGGCUAGAAUUAUUGUUAACCUCCGGUAGUCUUUUAUAAAGGCAAAAUGCCUAUAUAAUGCAUAAAAAUACGUAAAACACAAACAUUACAAAUGAUACAACGAUUAAAACUGCCUCGCCGCAAUGUAAUGGUCAUCGAAAGAAUUGGUUGUUUAAACCGAUUCGAAUGAUAUCCAAACCUUACACUUAGCACUGUUGUAAAUGGUGAAAAUGGAACGUUCAUAAUUGAAAACAUAUAGGUUUAUACAUAUUGCACAACAAGCACAUAUUAAUUAGAAAAUAUAUUAACUCUGGAGUUACAGUCUUUAAAAGAUAAAUGUUAAUAUAACUUGUGGGAGUACAGAAAGGCUAGGAUUUGAUGGCUAGACCUACCACACAGAAUUAGUCCAGAAUUAAUCACAAAACACACAUUUGUUAAAACAUCAUUUGCCCCAUAGCCUCGCAGGUAGAAUUUAAAUGCAAUAAAAGUGAAUACGCAACCGAUUUUAUUCACGUUAAUACUUAUGUUACUAUAUAUAGUAACACAAUUGACUCGAAUGCAUGUGAUUAUCGGUAAAAGCAAGGUGAUUAUCACGUUUGGCCCGCCUGGCCAAAUGUUGAUAAUCGAUAAUCGGCCCCGGUGACGUCACAGACAACGCGUUACGUAAUAACAAAAUGGCGUCUUCGUUCAGUCGCAGCCAACGGUGAUCAAUGCAAUUAACCACAACUCAACGAAAGAAUCGAACAAAAUGUUAACGACACGUAGCACACAGUUUGGAUAAUACACAUAUCGACUGAAACUGAAACUCCUCUGUACAUAAGAUAUAUGCCUCUAUUUGAGCUUUAACAGGAUUCAUCGAACUGGCGAACAGCAAAAUUAUAGUUAAAGAAACACUUAGAUUGACAACUUAAAUCCGAUGUUUAUAAUAAUAAAAUAACAACGAUGUGCUUUUCCGUUCUUUUUUGUUAUUCCAUCCGUCAUUUUAUAUUGUUUUUAAAUCACACUUUUUUAAACGAUUGUAUCGAAUGGUAAACACUUUCACCAAAAACACGAUUUAGGACAACGAAUGUCUUGUCGAAGCGUUUACACAAAAUUGAUUCCUAAUAAUGCACGAGAAACACACAAUCAGAAAUAAGUUUUGGAUUCGUUCGAUGCUAAAAAAUAUUUAACUGUUAAAUAUAAAUCCUCCACGACGGAAUUGUUGUCCCUAUAAAAAACCAGAGAGUCUAGCUAAAACUGUGUUUCGUCACAGAAAUUACGUCACAUGAGAUACGUCAUACAUUGCGUGAUCAAUUGAAUCAAAAUUAAAGUACGGAAAGCAGGUUCUGUAAUAAAUAGUACAGCUAACGGGGAUUUAGUAUUAAAGACGUUAAUACCAUCGUUGCUUAUAAAACAAGGUCGGAAAAUUCAAAGGAAUGGUUCAGUAAAAAAAACGCCAUUGGAAUUAGCAAACCUAUGACAAAGAUUAAUUUCUGCAAUAAUGAAGACAUAAUAUAAGAAAAACAAAGUUCACAAUUUUUUUUUAUUAACGAUAAUUUUACAUAUCUGAUCAUACUCGUGUCACGGUUAAUGACGUUACAUUUCCAUUCAUUGUAUGUCUAAGAAUAAAGCGAACGUCUUUUGCGUUUGUUUAUUUUACGGACAUGCAUGUGUUCGUGUUUUUCGCGAAGAACGGACAGAGUCUCUAUAGCAAUAGGUAUAACAUUAAAGCGAGAUUAUACGAUUUUGUCAAAUAUUUAUUAAUUUAUAUAAAAUGUGUAAACAACUUAUUAUACAUAUAUUUCAAUAUAAAUAAACACAAAAGUUAAGAAGAACAUUUGUCGAAAAUUGCGAAAUAAGCCAGAUAUUUAAUUCUUAAAUCGAAAAAGGCUGUACAGUCGAAUUCGCCAGCAUGCAAAUCAUGCAUGUACGAUGUAAAUCUAAAUUUAGUUUAACGGUUCAUUUGAAAUUCCAGCAACGAUAUCUAUUCAUUCGACACACGAACACUUACUAAAAAGACGAAUGUUUCGGUUAUUGUAGGAAAAUAUGUACGAAAUAUCUUCGGAACAAUCGGCUCGGGGCGCUAAUUUGUCUUUGCUGUAUUUUAUGAAAUUCGUCUUCAAUGUAUAAUUGUUCUUGCCUAUUUUGUGUUAUUGUAACAUAUUUUAUCAAUAUUUUAAAAUUUAACACAUAUACAAAAUCGUAUAAUCUCGCUUUAAAUAGACGAAUUAAAUAUUAAUUCAAUAUCGAAUUGAUAUAAUUUUCGUCUAUGCAUUGGUAAUAAAUGUGAUGAUCAAUGAAUUGUGGCCGAGGCUGGUUGGGCCAGCGGAGUGCCUAUUUGGGAAAUGGGCAAGAGCCUGUACGAGCUGAAGCUUGGUGAGGUGGAUGAAGAGCGCGAUGGUAGUGUUGCGGAGAUAGAUGGCGCAUUGCUUCUGGAAUAUGAUGUGUAAGCUAAGCCCGCAGCGGGUCUGCUGAAAGUCUGAUUAGUCGAGGCUCGAUUUUUCGGGAUGGUCAAGUCGUUUUCAUCAACGAUGACUUUAGUAAAGUAUCGUCAAUUAGGAGAAUCGAUGUUGGGGGUAUGAUUGAAGGCAUCAGUGACGUGCGAUUAAUACCCUUACAAAAGUGUCUCUGUAUAAAUAAGGAUGUCUUCAACAAAAACAUUGAACAAGUCCCGUGCCGGAAAAUGGGAAACGUAAUACCGGGAGUGCAUGCUAAUGACUACAGGCCGAUAAGCAUUUCGCGCGAUAAAGAAUCUACCACCGAAGGUAGCAUGAUUGGAGCAAAUACGACGCCGCGAAUUUAACGACUUGUGCAGCAUGGUUGUGCAGACACUGAGCAUAUUAAACGGAUCGCUGUCAAUCAUAAGCAUACUUUACAAACAAAGGCGGAGUUCGAUCGUAGGAAGAAAGUAGAGAGCCGCAUGCACAGAGUGCAUAUAAAUGCUAGGAGCCAGGUUGAUCCCACUAAGGUAUUAAGUGAUAGGGGACGCGUUGAUUCGCGUUAUCUACCGACAUCCUACCACGUUAACGAAACGUGUGAUGCCACAUGCAUGAUCGACAAAUCUAGUGGAUUUUCUGUAAGGGACAAACUUGGAAAAGCUGAUUUGUCUAUAUUAAAUUCCUAGAUGCGGAUUUUUAGAAAUGGACCUGAACAAUUAAGACACCGUUGUAAGUUUAAACCAUAUUAAGUUGGUCUUCUCAGGUACGCAUAAGCUUAAAACGUCUUUUUGCCUACAUGUGAACUUUAUUAAUUUGCGGAAUAAUGUUGACUGAUUGAUUCUGUUCGUAAUCGCUAUGCCUAAGUGUAUGCAGGAUGGUCGAAGAACUCCUCUUUGAAAUUCGCGUACAGGAGUAGGCCUACACGCGGCUUCGCGUUCCACUAAGCAUCGUACGGGUAAAACCACUCGUCACGGUGGAUGCUCGAUACGUAACUGGUCCAUUUAGUGUAGGGCAAUUAAGUGGGCACCUAGUGGAUGGGCAUCGAAUCAUGGACGAUGAUCAGCAUUUCUGUAUUCUUGUUUAAACUUGUAUUCGUUUCUUUUAAUAAUCUAAAAAAUACUUGUGCGACUUAUAUUUAAUAUGGCAAACGGAUUGCCAUGAGUUGUCUCGGGGCGAUAAAGUACCUUACAUAUGUUACGGUGUGGUGCUUUUCUUAAGUUCUUUUGGUCCAAGAAAACUAACAGAGAAUUACUUACGAGCACAUUUAAAACAUUGUUGCUUGCCAUCUUGGACCAAGUUUCUAGUUAAAUAUUCAAAGUAACACUUUAAUCUGUUUCCAUUUUUAACGAUUAAAUUUUGUUUCAUACGUGAAGAUUGUCUCUCUUUGUUUACAUUUAUUUUAACUAAGAAGGCUGAUGUUAAAUUCCUCGUUUUGAACUGGCAUUGUUCAUUGCGCACAUACUUGUAUGUUGUUUGUGUGUUGUGUUUAGUAUUCAGUCAUAACACUUGCUUUAUUUGAGUAAUCUAUGUUUGUGUAACUAUGUAACGUUUUUUCUGCGCAAGUUUUGUUUUCUGGCCGAUUUUAGGCCGGUAGCUUUGGCCGUGUUAUGACCGAUUGCCGAUUGUUGGCCUGUCCGUUGGCGUUAUUAAGCCGAUUGUAAAUUUUUGGGCGCGGCGAGUUUUUCGCCCAGAUUUCGCCCACCUUUUAAAUGUUAUGUUAAUUCUCCAAUUAGUCUUAGGUGUUCUUUUCCGCGAGAAGCAGUGACAUCAGUUUGCUCCCAAAAAUGUGAAUAACUAAUUAAUUUUGUUAAUAAAUCUGAAAAUGUAAGUUAAUCAAUAACUUUUAGAUGAACAUACUUCCAGAAUGGGAACUUCACGCAUAAUAUGUGUCCACUCAUUACGGAACUUUUGAGUAUUUAUUAGUGACGAAGAAUUGUAACUACACGUAUAUUUGAAUCGUAUUAAUGUGUAAGCAUCGUCAUCGAUCAGACGUGUCUGCUAAGGUCAUUUUAAACUAUGUGCAGUUAAACAGAGUGAAAUAAAGUCUGUUUAUUUGGGUCGUUAUUGAUUCUGAUUUAUGGCCUACAUACUGUAAAUUUAACAAACACUACCGAUAAAGAGAGCAAUGCCCCAAUAAUACCAAACAGCAAUUAGCCGAACAUUAUUUAUAAAAUAUUUAGACAAACGGGAACACAAAGCCAUCAUACAUAAAAUGACCAAUCCAAAGCCACGUAGGUGUUCUAUCAAUCUGAAAAUGUCUAUCAUAUUCUGAGUAUUCAUUCAAACGCGAUAAUAAAUAAAAGUCAUAAAGCGUGAAAAUACAUUUCGACAUCGUCUAACUUGCAACUAGUUAAAUAUGCAUACGUGUGUGUAUUUGUUCAACCAAUUAUUAAAAAUAUAAAGCAUGAUUUGUUCUUUCAAAUAUUAGUUCACAUGUAUCAUUCAAUGUUGUCGAGUUCUUUGAAAAUUGUUGUAAACAAGUUCGUAAGGCAAGCGUUUAGUGAAUAUAGCAUGUUCAAUAUGAAGUAGAUUGGUGUAACAGCUUACAGUUAUUUUGAGUAAAAAAGAGAUAGUUUGCAAAAAACAAAUAUUAUGAUUUAUAAAUGUGCGAUACCGACAAUAUUUCAGUCGAUCAUAUCGAUUAUGGUAGUUUUACACUUGCAAUUUAUACUCCAAACAUUGGUACAUAUGCUCAAAAACAAGCGGAAGGACAUGAUGAAAAUGAACCUCAUUCAAUGCUGUUCAAAUCAAACGACACAGCCAACGACGAAUCCUUUGGCAUUAGACAAACGAACCAAACGAUUUACGACGACAUGUAUAAAGAUAGACGUAAUCAUCCUGUAUCGAAGAAAGGUGUACCGUUCACGGAUGUGACAACAGAACAGAACUACUCCCGGUCCUAUCAUCACGGGCAUGUUUUGGCGGACAAAUUAGGCAGAGCGCCUGCGUCUACCACUCUAGCGCCUGCGUCUACCACUCAAGCGCCUGAAUCACGCUCAAUUUCGACAUCUGGAUACGUCGGCAUUGGGAUUGGUGUCUUUGUGUUGGUUCUCAUAGCUGCAGCAGUUAUUAUCAUCGCGUACAAGAAACGCCGCAGACAGCUGCAUACUGAAGAUCCAUAUUCCCGAUACACUCUAAAAGCUGAUAAAUGUGAUGUGCCCGCAGACAAGGAAAAUGUGCCGCCGCCCGUUCCACAUCGUGUCCAACGGAAGUCCAGACAUUUAUACCUCAGGCUGGAUGGUGACGUUUAUGAUGCAAUAGAGGACACCGUAAGCUCAGUAUUGCCGCCCAGACCCGCCCUGCCUACUCCGCCGGGCGACAAGAGCAGCGCAGACAACGAGUACAGUGUACCUUACACUGGUCUCUCCUUUGCUCCCAAGGGACAUACCGGCACCACUUAAUACAAAUGACAAUCUGUUACUUCCAGCGCGUGUCACUUUGUACAAAAUACCAACUACAAAAGAUAGUUCAAUGUAAACAUUGUAAACAAGUAUUAGUUUAAGUAAACUGAAGAUAAGAUAUGUAUCCUUAUACAAUUGUUUAUUCCGGUUAAAAAUUGUUUUUACACAAUAGUAAACUGAUUUGUAUUCACUCAAACCAUCGCUAUAUGUAAAUUGUAUAAUAACACAUAACUAAUUAAAGUAACAUAAAUACUCAAAAUCAACGAGUAUUUCGCACAAUAUUUCGUAAAAUAAAGAAAACCCAUAAAAAUCAGUGUUCCUUAUAGCAAUAGUCAAAAAUUCAACGCUAGACUUGGUAUGGUAACAUAGAUUAUACAAAUGCUCUUUCUUUAUUUGGUGGCACAAUAUAUUCCCUUUUAAUUUCCCGCAACGAUAUCUAUUUAUACGACAUACGAACACUAACAUGGUACAUGAACAUGUGUUGAAUAUACUUGAAAACUUGAAACUCGAAAACUUGCUAAUUUGAUGAAACGCCUAUUUAUAUAAUUAUAUUCAAUGGCGUUGUACAAAACAUAUAUAUGUACAUAAAAUUGAUAAAAUAAAAGAGGUAUUGAUAAUAUUAUGCAGCAUUAGUUAAAGGAUUAAUGAUCUUAAAAUGUGUGAUAUAAAUAAGAAUGCUAUAAGGAACUUAAGCAAUAAAACAAUACCGGCUACACUAUUAAAACACAGUAAAAGUAAAAUAUUAUGUAAUAAAUUGAUAUAACUAGAGUUAAGACAAUAAUUAUAAUGAUAAUAUGAGCAAAUAUUUGGCAACAUAAAGACACUGUUUUUCAUUAACUAAAAGGAUACGUAAAAGGAUAUUUCUGCUCUCUGGCUGUCGGAUCCCACAGCUACCGGUCACCUGUCAUACUUAAGGACACUGCUUUUGGGUUUUAACCUUAUUUUAACUUUCGUGACUGCAAGUCACAAAUAGACUGACCAAGUGUGACUACAAGACACAACUUGAAGGUUAAAAUUAUAGUGUGACUAUAAGACACAACUAGAAGGCCUAAGCAUGACUAAAAGGCAGCUGGUUGAUGUAAUUCAAUCAUUGAGCAAAGAAGCCCUAAUGAUUCUUGGUUACCAGUCACUUGUACAAUAAAUAUCCUUUUCGAGCAAAGAAGCCCGCACAAUUCUUUAAUUGCUUGGUCCUAUGAGUCCUAGUGAACAAUACGCCCGUACAACUGAGUCUCGAUUAUUUUUUUAAAUCACAGGUAUUCCAAUUAAAAUAGGUUGUAAAAGUCUCUGAAGAGAAAUGUUUUCAAAUUCCUUUUGAAAAUGUUUAUUGAUGCGGAAGUCCGGAUGCUUGAUGGAAGGUCAUUCCACAGUUUCGGACCAACAACUCCGAAACUCUUGUCCAUGAAAGUUUUUCUCUUUGUGCGUUUUACAUCAUAACAUCCGUCAUACGAGACGGUAGAUCGUAGGUUACGUGCUGGUACUUUUUCUUUUAAAAGUUCUGUAAGGUAUUUUGGCGCGUUACCAACAGAACUGACAUAUUUCUGUCGGCCGAGUACCAAUUUGGCACACAUGUUUUGGAUACGUUGCAUUUUGUUUAUUUUGCAUUGAGCUGUUCCAUACAAGAUGAGAUUACAAUAAUCUAGAUGGGAUAUUACCAAAGACAAAACGAGUAUUUCUGUUGCUUCUUUUGUUAAGUAUUUCCUUAUGUUUUUGAUUUUAAGGUAGUUGUACAUGGCUGUACGGCACUUAAUUUUGAUGUGUUCUUUAAAAUUUAGUGUUUCGUCUAAAUAUGCACCCAAAUACCGUAUGCAUUUUUCUGCUUUAACAGUGUCACCAGCAAUAUCUAUUUCUUUAGAUUGACAUUUAUUUAAUUGGGGUCUACUACCGAACAUGAUGAAUUCCGUUUUUGAUGCUUUCAUUUUCAGUUUAUUCUCGUUCAUCCAGUUGUUAAUAACGAGUGCACAACUUUCAAGUUCUUGAAUGGCAGUUCUUUCAACAGAAGAAGAUGUAGGUUUGAAUCGCUUGUUUGCGGUGUGGUCGUCUGCAAAACCGUAGACUGUGAUGGAGGGAGGAACGACAUCAAACAGUGUUCCAGCGUACGUCAGGUAGAGCCAUGGACCAAGACAACUACCCUGGGGGACACUACACUCCAAAGAACGUGCCGCCGAUAAAGCUGAAUUAACACUUAUGCGACAGCUUCUUGGACGAAGAUACGAGUCUAUCCAGUUUAGUGCCGUGCCACAUGCACCGUAUUGUUUUUGCAACACGUCUAGUAGAAUGUCAUGAUCGACUGUAUCGAAGGCAGCACUCAAAUCAAUGGCGAUAAGUGCUGUAACCUCUUGUUCUUCCAUACCUUCGAGUAUAUCAUUGACUAGUCUAAGUAAAGCAGAUUCACAAGAAUGGAAUUGUCUGUAGGCUGACUGAUUUUUUGGAAGGAGAUUGUUUUCAUUUACGUGUAUAUUGAGUCUAAACAGAGCAGCCUUUUCAAUCACUGGUCUAUAGUUGGCAUAACUCAGGUCUAGUCCAAUUUUCUUAAGAAGUGGUCUUACUAUUGCCUGUUUAAAUUUUGAAGGAAAAGCUCCUUGACUCAGAGAGAGAUUAACCAAUUUUGUCACGAACGGUAGUAACUCGUUUAAAAAUGAUUUUAGUACUCUUGUUGGCAAUGCAUCUAGUUCGCAUGAUUUUGUUUGAAGAUGAUUGAUGAUCUUUUUCACUUCAUCUUGGGUUAGCUCCUCGAACAUACCGAAACAUGGCACUUCCUUGUGAGCGGGUGUGAAUUUUUCGAAAAUUGCAAGGGCAUCUCGAAUUUUGUUAAUUUUAUCCAGGAAGUGAUCGGCAAAAUUUUCAGCUAUCGCGGUGUCGCUUUCACCUUCCGGCAUAGGGUUAUCAGUAUUUUUUCCUGUUAAUUCUGAUACAAACUUGUAGAGUUUUUUAGAAUCUCUGUGAAAAUCAAUUAAUUUUUGACUAAGCGAUCGUUGCUUCUGUGCAUUCAACUCGAAAGUGUAUUUAUUUCUGGCAUUUUUGAAAAGUUCAUAUUGGUCUGGUUGUUUGUAUUUUCUCCACAUGCGUUCCAGUUUGCGUGUUUUACGUUUUAGUUCAAGAAUAUUUUCAUUAAACCAUGGUUUUGGUGCACGACAUAUUUUGUUUUUCUCAAUGUAUGGAGCGUGUUCAUCAAGAAUUCUACAGAUUUUAUCUUCAAAUUGUUCUAUAAAAGUGUCUACUUUGUCUGCUGUAAUUGACAUUUCAUUGAGGUCGUUAGUAAAUGCUGAGUGGUCUAUGUUUUUAAAAUUUCGAAAUUUUAUUGUUUGACUCUUGAUUUUUUCUUUUUGUACUUUGGUAACGACUUUAACUACACAAUGGUCCGAAAAGAAAGGGCCUGGUUCACACGAAUUGAUUUCAAUACCAUUUGUAGCCUCAGAGAUUACUAGGUCGAGUGUAUUUCCCUCUGUGUGUGUGCUGAAAUUAACAUGUUUUUCCAAACCCAUUGCUACAAGAGAAUUCUUAAAUUCAGUCACAACACUGUUAGUUUUGUUAACAUGCAAGUUGAAAUCUCCAAUAAUAUUAAGAUUUGAGUAGUUGGGAAUAAUGUCCUCCAUGAAUUCGAAAAAUUCUGUUAAAAAUUGAUGUUCAGUCCCUAAUAAUUGUGGUCUGUAAACGCCAAUUACAUUAAUUGUAAUGUUUUGAGAAUCAGUUGCCAUAUACCAUGUUCAAAUGUCCGGGUAUUACUACUUGACACUUUUCGUACAGUAACCCCAGUCCGACAAGUUAAAGCCACUCCGCCGCCUGUUCUAUUUGAACGAUUUACAGUACUCAUUGUAUAACCAUUUUGAUUUAAGUCUGAGGUAUCUAUUUGGUGUUGCUUUUUAUCUGAGAACCAGGUUUCUGUGAAUACGGCAAAGUCGAUUUUUUCUUCUCUCAGAUAUUAACCAAUCAAAACAUCUUUGUUUCUGACAACAGAAGGACAGUUCAAUGUAAGGCAAGAUAUUUUUUCGUUUAGACCAUUUAGUGUAUUGCAUUUCUUGGGGUAUGAGAGGUUGAUUACGUUUGCAUCUGAAAUGUUUUGUGUGCUGUGUCUUUUCAAAGAUGUUACAGUUGUUAUUUGUGAUGGUAAACUUUGUAGAUUAUUUAAAUUUACUCCACUAUUUGUGUCCCACACACACACACACAAUAAUUUUGUAUAUUGUUAAAUCUAUGUUACCAGAGGACAUUUGGCGUUGAAAAUUUGGCUAUUGCUAUAAGGAACAUUGAUUGUGUAUGUGUUAACUUUAUUUUUCGAAAUAGUGUACGAACUAUUCGUCGAUUUUGACUGUUAAUUGGAUUUAAAACUAAACCAAUCUAAUCGAUGUAUGAAGGUCAAAGAUCAACUUCUGUUGCCUACACUAUUAAAGGAAAACGUGUAGCAGAGUAGUUAGUACUUGUCUUAAGCGUACAUAAUAUUAAAAAUUAUUAUCAUUAUAUUUACAGUAUUGUUUUAUUUAUUGCAGGCUAUAUUUUUUGCUUGUUAUGAUGAUUUUUGGGGGCUAUAAAUUGCUUAUAUUUGCCAAAAAUUAUGUGCUAACGCAAGUAUGAAUUUGACUGAUAAAAGAUUUGUUAAAUAAA